GCAUAUGAUUUCUAAAAAGAAUUUUACAAAACAAUCUUACUUUAUCCAAGACGGCAAGCUGAAUGCACCAAGACAGCACGAAUUCAGUCUGCACUACCUGCAGCAAAGCCAGCAGCACCAGCUCCCACUCCAAUGGCAGCGCCUCCACCACCCCCACCACCUCCAGGGGCACAUCUCUAUGAAGAACUUGGAGACAGCGCAAUGUAUGAAAUGCCUCAAUAUGGAAGUCGCCAUCGAUUGUUACCACCUGCUUGACAGGAGGAAAACCAUGAAGUGGUUGGUGAAGCUGAGGAGGAAUAUGAGGAGGAAGAGUGGGCAAGAAAGAGAAUGAUCAAGUUAGUUGUUGAUCGAGAAUAUGAAACUAGUUCAACUGGAGAAGACAGUGCUCCGGAAUGUCAGAGAAACCGUCUUCACAAUGCUAAGAUCCACAGUAAUAUCAAUGGCAAUAUAUAUAUUGCACAGAAUGGUUCUGUGGUGAGAACCCGCCGU
rnacentral:lncRNA from 1 species